UAAAACUAUCGACAUAGACGAGCGGCGUCUGAUCCGGACGGCGAUCCGGGAGCUGCGGCGCUGUGAGAUUGAAGAAAUAGAGGCGGCGCUAACCAGCAAGCGCUUCAGACGUGCCCACCAGAACAGACAUGAGGAUAAAGAAAACCAGUGUCGUCCUGAUCUGACAGCUUCUUUAGACGUGCUGUCGGGGAAGAUUCAGGCUAUACAUGACAUUGAAGAACUUACUGGACUGUUACAAAGCGCCAGUGGAUAUGAAGAGAGAAAACUCAUUCGGGCAGCCAUUCGCCGGCUGAGAGAUGAGGAGAUACGAGGAGUGUUAGAGAAGGUUCAGACCGCUGGCCAGAGAACAGAGCGACGACAAAAUCCUCAAAGCAGCUUUGACCUGCAGG